rnacentral:rRNA from 1 species
CAUCGCCCUUUGAUACAGGAUAAAUAUAAAGGGUCCUGCCUGCCCAGUGACAAAAAGUUAAACGGCCGCGGUAUCUUGACCGUGCGAAGGUAGCAUAAUCACUUGUCUCCUAAAUAGAGACUGGUAUGAAUGGCAAGACGGAACUUAACUGUCUCCUUUUCUUUCAUCUUAAUUUCACUUUCCCGUGAAGAGGCGGGAGAAUAUUCGCUAGACGAGAAGACCCUGUCGAGCUUGAGCGGAACACUAAUUUUUAACUUUUUUUUGUUUUAUUCUAAUUUAUUUAACUAAAUACGACUAAAGAAAAAUUAUUAGUAUAAGCUUUGGUUGGGGCAACCGCGGAGAAUAAGAAUCCUCCGCUUACAAUAGAUAAAGCUAAGACUUUACAAGUCUAAUAUUGUAUGAUACAAGUUAAUUGAUCCACUAUGGUGAUCAAAGGAAAAAGUUACCGCAGGGAUAACAGCGUUAUCUUUUCUGAGAGUUCAUAUUGACGAAAAGGUUUGCGACCUCGAUGUUGGAUCGGGACAUCCUAAGGGUGCAGAAGCUUUUAAGGGUUGGUCUGUUCGACCAUUAAAGUCCUAC